rnacentral:rRNA from 1 species
AUGAACGCUAGCGACAGGCUUAACACAUGCAAGUCGAGGGGCAGCACAGGUAGCAAUACCGGGUGGCGACCGGCGCACGGGUGAGUAACGCGUAUGCAACUUACCUAUCAGAGGGGGAUAACCCGGCGAAAGUCGGACUAAUACCGCAUGAAGCAGGGGCCCCGCAUGGGGAUAUUUGCUAAAGAUUCAUCGCUGAUAGAUAGGCAUGCGUUCCAUUAGGCAGUUGGCGGGGUAACGGCCCACCAAACCGACGAUGGAUAGGGGUUCUGAGAGGAAGGUCCCCCACAUUGGUACUGAGACACGGACCAAACUCCUACGGGAGGCAGCAGUGAGGAAUAUUGGUCAAUGGCCGAGAGGCUGAACCAGCCAAGUCGCGUGAGGGAUGAAGGUUCUAUGGAUCGUAAACCUCUUUUAUAAGGGAAUAAAGUGCGGGACGUGUCCCGUUUUGUAUGUACCUUAUGAAUAAGGAUCGGCUAACUCCGUGCCAGCAGCCGCGGUAAUACGGAGGAUCCGAGCGUUAUCCGGAUUUAUUGGGUUUAAAGGGUGCGUAGGCGGCCUUUUAAGUCAGCGGUGAAAGUCUGUGGCUCAACCAUAGAAUUGCCGUUGAAACUGGGGGGCUUGAGUAUGUUUGAGGCAGGCGGAAUGCGUGGUGUAGCGGUGAAAUGCAUAGAUAUCACGCAGAACCCCGAUUGCGAAGGCAGCCUGCCAAGCCAUGACUGACGCUGAUGCACGAAAGCGUGGGGAUCAAACAGGAUUAGAUACCCUGGUAGUCCACGCAGUAAACGAUGAUCACUAGCUGUUUGCGAUACACUGUAAGCGGCACAGCGAAAGCGUUAAGUGAUCCACCUGGGGAGUACGCCGGCAACGGUGAAACUCAAAGGAAUUGACGGGGGCCCGCAUAAGCGGAGGAACAUGUGGUUUAAUUCGAUGAUACGCGAGGAACCUUACCCGGGUUUGAACGCAUUCGGACCGAGGUGGAAACACCUUUUCUAGCAAUAGCCGUUUGCGAGGUGCUGCAUGGUUGUCGUCAGCUCGUGCCGUGAGGUGUCGGCUUAAGUGCCAUAACGAGCGCAACCCUUGCCACUAGUUACUAACAGGUAAAGCUGAGGACUCUGGUGGGACUGCCAGCGUAAGCUGCGAGGAAGGCGGGGAUGACGUCAAAUCAGCACGGCCCUUACAUCCGGGGCGACACACGUGUUACAAUGGCGUGGACAAAGGGAAGCCACCUGGCGACAGGGAGCGAAUCCCCAAACCACGUCUCAGUUCGGAUCGGAGUCUGCAACCCGACUCCGUGAAGCUGGAUUCGCUAGUAAUCGCGCAUCAGCCAUGGCGCGGUGAAUACGUUCCCGGGCCUUGUACACACCGCCCGUCAAGCCAUGGGAGCCGGGGGUACCUGAAGUCCGUAACCGCGAGGAUCGGCCUAGGGUAAAACUGGUGACUGGGGCU